CUUUAACAAUCUGGAACAAGCUGAAAAUUGAAACCUGACAGCUGAAACUUGUCCCGCCGUAGAGUUAUGGGGAUAAGGAGUACCCUGUCAGAGAGUCUCUCAAAUGUUUACAGCACGAUGUGUUCUCUGUUUACAGAAGACACCUUCGG
rfam:Chania multitudinisentens RB-25, complete genome.